UACGUAGGGUGCGAGCGUUGUCCGGAUUUAUUGGGCGUAAAGAGCUCGUAGGCGGCUUGUCGCGUCGUCCGUGAAAACCCACGGCUUAACUGUGGGCUUGCGGUCGAUACGGGCAGGCUGGAGUUCGGUAGGGGAGACUGGAAUUCCUGGUGUAGCGGUGAAAUGCGCAGAUAUCUGGAGGAAUACCGGUGGCGAAGGCGGCAUCCUGGACCAUAACUGACGCUGAGGCGCGAAAGCUAGGGGAGCAAACGGG
rnacentral:rRNA from 1 species